GAGUUUGAUCUUGGCUCAGAUUGAACGCUGGCGGAAUGCUUUACACAUGCAAGUCGAGCGGCAGCGCGGGGCAACCUGGCGGCGAGCGGCGAACGGGUGAGUAAUGCAUCGGAACAUGUCCAUGUCGUGGGGGAUAGCCCGGCGAAAGCCGGAUUAAUACCGCAUACGCCCGAGAGGGGAAAGUGGGGGACCGCAAGGCCUCACGCGAUUGGGUUGGCCGAUGUCCGAUUAGCUAGUUGGCGGGGUAAUGGCCCACCAAGGCGAUGAUCGGUAGCUGGUCUGAGAGGAUGAUCAGCCACACUGGGACUGAGACACGGCCCAGACUCCUACGGGAGGCAGCAGUGGGGAAUUUUGGACAAUGGGGGCAACCCUGAUCCAGCCAUUCCGCGUGAGUGAAGAAGGCCUCGG
rnacentral:rRNA from 1 species